ensembl:lncRNA
CACCAACCAAUUAUUGUGGUUGGUGAACCAGAACCAGUUCACCGACCACAAGUUCUUCAGGGCCUCACAAGAAUCCAAACAAAUGAUCUCUCUAGUAUUAAAUACUAAUAAUUUCUGCAGUAAACACAGUCAAACAACAUUUUCCCCACUUUCACCCCAAAUUCCUGUACCCAGAAAGCAGUAAUCCUGAAUCACAGAUUUUUUUUUUAUUCCACUGUGUACAAAAAAUGCAUUCUGCCAUUCUGGUCAAUUAGCUUUCCACCAUAUUACAUCUUUAUUACAAUGUCAAAGCAAGCACGUUUAUUUAUAUAGCACAAUUCAUACAUAGUAGCAAUUCAAUGUGUUUUACAAUGAAACGAAAAAUAUAAAAAUGCAAUAGAAUUAAAACAGAUUUUUACAAUUCUCUAACUUGGCUGUCUCCAGGGGGACUGUACAUGAACUUCAACACCCCGGUAUCUCAAUCCUCGCAUUCCAGUGCUAGAAUGAACCCGUCAGUCCCUUUGUGAGAUCAUCUUUACAUCGAUGUCUUACUCAGCUGUCUCCAGGGGGAAAUUCAUGCCAUGUCUGUACAUGCAUUUAAUAUUCGUCCUCAAUGAAUUUACAGUUCCCAGAACUGUUUACUGCACCACCCUGGUAUCUCAAUCCUCGCGCUCCAGCUCUUGGAUAAACUUGUCAGUCCUUUUGUGAGAUAAUACCCUACAUCGAUGGCUAAACAGCAGCACAAUAACGUGCAUUAUCCGUCAUUAGCAGAGUGUUACAUUUACACAGAGGUUAUUCCUCUGAUAGCACCAGAACUUGCAUUACAGAAAAUGAUUGGUAAAAAAUAGCUAAUUAUAAAUAUAAUAAUGAAAUUAAUCAAAGAAAGAGAGAACUAUAAAAUACAUCAUAGUAAUCAAGGUGCUUCACAAAGAAAAGGUAAAAAUAGAAAAAUACUAUAGAAAACAAAUAAAACAUUAAAAAGCAGCAUAAUAAUGAAAUGGAGAUAGAAAUACAAAGUUUCUCUCGUUUUAUUGAGAAAAUAAACAAACACAAUAUAAUUAAUAGUACUUCACAGACACACCACUGGAAAUGUUAAGACAAACAAUACUUUUUCCUCAAACUUUAUUCUCGUACAUAUAAAGACACAGCUUUAACAUUUGCAUAAGGAUUUAGAUGGGGGAAAGCUGGUAAUCUUGCAACAAUAUCGGUUCCCUCAAAUGAUUUGGACAGACAAUUUCUGAUCUAAAAAAGAAAUACAAAAAUGAUUACUGCAAAACCCUACUUUAUGUUUAGGACUAACCCUUUUUUUACAUAUGUUGAAUAAUUGAGCUACUUACAUUACAACUGUCUCUGUAUCCUCAAAGGACACUUCCUCCACCGUCUCCACCUCGACUCCUACCAUCAUUGUCUUCCUCACUGGGAAGUAUAAUUGGUUGAUCAGAGAAGUAUAUUAGCUCAGAUGGCAGCUAUAGUGAAUCACUAUGAUAAGCCACAAUAAGAAUAAGCACAUGGACAGACACAAACACUUACCCCCAAAAUGUAUGAAAGGAGAACCAGCCCAACUGUGGCAACAUCUUCCUGGUCUACUCUGUCCAUGCACACAAACACAGCCAUGGCCCUCUGUCCUGUGGCUCCCCCAGUUCAUUCCUAAACAAUGCUGGGAUGGUUCAUCUCCAUUAACACCAUUCAAGGAGGGCUGGUGUGCUGGGAGAACCAUCCACAUAUCAGCGCCGAUCUGCCCUGUGUCACUUUGGCUUUGAAUGUUAACUAGCUCACUGGGGACAGUAGCAAAGGGACUCUCAGAACCGGCCCAGCGGGUCUGAACAAACUCUUGGGGGAGGUCAUGGCCACCUGAAGAAGGACAGUGGAAGGACAGAACACAAUAUUACUUUUUUAAAUAUGUAAUACGUCUUUUUAUAGUGAAUUGUAAAACAAAAAAAUAGCAUUAUUUCUAUGUGUUGGAUCACACUUUUAAUAAGGCUACUAAAAAGGUAUGACAGAGAAUACAGAAGAGUGGAUAGCUGAGAGGGGGGGGGCUAGAGAUGGAGGAGAGGUAAUAUGCUGAGAGAGGGGAGGGCUAGAGAUGGAGGAGAGGUAAUAUUCUGAGAGAGGGGAGGGCUAGUGAUGGAGGAGUGGUAAUAUGCUGAGAGAGGGGAGGGCUAGAGAUGGAGGAGUGGUAAUAUUCUGAGAGAGGGGAGGGCUAGAGAUGGAGGAGUGGUAAUAUGCUGAGAGAGGGGAGGGCUAGAGAUGGAGGAGUGGUAAUAUGCUGAGAGAGGAGGUAAGGGCUAAAGAUGGAAGAGAGGUAAUAUGCUGAGAGAGGAGGUUGGGGCUAGAGAUGGAGGAGAAGUACUAUGCUGAGAGAGGAGGGGAGGACGAGAGAGGGAGGAGAAGUACUAUGUUGAAAGAGGAGGGGGGGUUAUGGAUGGAGGAGGAGUAAUAUACUGAGAAAGGAGGGGAGGGCUAGAGAUGGAGAAGUACUAUGCUGUGAGAGGAGUUGAGGGUGAGAGAUGGAGGAGAAGUACUAUGCGGAGAGAGGAGGUGAGGGCUAGAAAUGGAGAAGUACUAUGCUGAGAGAGGAGGUGAGGGCGAGAGAUGGAGGAGAAGUACUAUGCUGAGAGAGGAGGUGAGGGCGAGAGAUGGAGGAGAAGUACUAUGCUGAGAGAGGAGGUGAGGGCGAGAGAUGGAGGAGAAGUACUAUGCUGAGAGAGGAGGUGAGGGCGAGAGAUGGAGGAGAAGUACUAUGCUGGGCCAUGAGAUGGGAUGACUUGGAGUAGGAGCAUGUGUUGGUGGGGUUCUGUGGGACUGUCAAAUUUCUGGUGCUCCAUCUGUCUUUUCAUCCUGCCAAUGGCACUGCUGAGUUUGGGCAAGGUUCCUAGUCACAAAUCAUCCUCCCACUUUAGCAAAGACUAUGGGAGUGGCAGAAAAAGCGAAGCCAGAGCAGGAACAUUAGGAAUACACCAUACUAAUUGAUGGAAAUCAGCAUCAACCCUGUUUUUUUUCAGGUAGACAAUAUAUGCAAUUUUUAAACAAACCUAAAUUAGAAGAAAAAAAGUUGAAACAGACAUGCCAUGGAAGAGUCACCCAAC